AUGAAUAAAUAUGGUUGGUACUCAUCUGACGUACUUGCAUGUCUAUAUGCAGCGGAUAUUUCGUUUCGUCUGCUCAAAACUGUCCCAGCAUGCCUACCAGCAGACUCCAUCAGAUCCUCUCCCUUUCUGUGCAGCAAAUCUGACAUGGGCGUAUCAGCUGCCAACUGCCAACUGUCUACUGUCAACUCCUUUCAGGCAGUUGCAAUAGUGAAUCAAAAACCAAAACAGGCCCGGUCGGGAUGCCUCGACAGGAGAGGAAUUAAUGAGACACGAGCUGCUCACUUAAAUGAUGAGAUCCAGACACCUCAUAGCACAAAGAAAAAACAUAAAUCAAUGGACCUGUCACAUACUGGCGUGCUGCUCUGA
rnacentral:rRNA from 1 species